rnacentral:rRNA from 1 species
GAUAGCUGGUUCUCCCCGAAAUAGCUUUAGGGCUAGCGUCGCAGCGAGAGAGCCGUGAAGGUAGAGCACUGAAUAUGCGAUGGCCGCAUCCCGCGGUACUGAGCAUAAUCAAACUCCGAAUGUCACGGUGUCAUCUGCGGCAGUCAGACGGCGAGUGAUAAGGUCCGUCGUCAAGAGGGAAACAGCCCAGACCAUCAGCUAAGGUCCCAAAGUGCAUGCUAAGUGGAAAAGGAAGUGGAGACGUGCAGACAACUAGGAGGUUGGCUCAGAAGCAGCCAUCCUUCAAAGAGUGCGUAACAGCUCACUAGUCGAAUGACUCUGCGCCGAUAAUUUACCGGGGCUAAGCAUGACACCGAAGCUAUGGACAGGAAUGUGGUAGGGGAGCAUUGCAUGCAGCGGAGAAGCAUGACCGGGAGGGCAUGUGGAGCGCAUGGAAGAGAGAAUGCCGGCGUGAGUAGCGGCACGUGGGUGAGAAUCCCACGCACCGAUGGCCCAAGGUCUCCAGAGGAAGGCUCGUCCUCUCUGGGAUAGUCGGGACCUAAGGCGAGGCCGAAAGGCGUAGCCGAUGGACGACGGGUGGAUAUUCCCGUACCCGAUGUGUGGCGAUGGAGUGACGGAGAAGGCUCAGGCAACCAGCUGCUGGAAUAGCUGGGGCAAGCGAGAUACCUGCGCACCAGGGAAAUCCGGUGCGCAUAAGGGGAAGGCGCGAUGCAUACGGAAAGCUUCGGCAAGUACGGAAAAGCUGAGAGCAGGCUUCCAGGAAAAGCUUCUAGCACAACACACAUCGGCCCGUACCGAAAAUGGACACACAUGGGCAAGGAGAGAAUCCUGAGGUGAGCGAGAGAACUAUAGCUAAGGAACUCUGCAAAAUGACCCCGUAACUUAGGGAGAAGGGGUGCUCCAGAAAUGGAGCCGCAGUAAAACGGCCCAAGCGACUGUUUACCAAAAACACAGCUCUCUGCGAAGGCGCAAGCCGAAGUAUAGGGGGUGACGCCUGCCCGGUGCUGGAAGGUCAAGGGGAGCUGUCAGCGCAAGCGAAGCAGCGAGCCGAAGCCCCAGUAAACGGCGGCCGUAACUAUAACGGUCCUAAGGUAGCGAAAUUCCUUGUCGGGCAAGUUCCGACCCGCACGAAAGGCGUAACGAUUUGGGCGCUGUCUCAGCUGUAGACUCGGUGAAGUCUUAGUACCUGUGAAGAUGCAGGUUGCCCGCGACUAGACGGAAAGACCCCAUGGAGCUUCACUGCAGGUUGACAUUGGGCUUGGAUGCAUGAUGUACAGGAUAGGUGGGAGGCUGUGAGCCGUGCGCGCCAGCGUACGGGGAGCCGCUGUUGGGAUACCACCCUUCAUGCAUCUAGGUCCUAACCGGAGGCAACGGGCCACGGGACAGUGUCAGUCGGGCAGUUUGACUGGGGCGGUCGCCUCCCAAAGAGUAACGGAGGCGCCCAAAGAUACCCUCAGCAUGGAUGGAAACCAUGCAUAGAGUGCAAAGGCAUAAGGGUGUCUGACUGCGAGACAUACAGGUCGAGCAGGGACGAAAGUCGGGCUUAGUGAUCCGGC